rnacentral:rRNA from 1 species
UACGGGAGGCAGCAGUAAGGAAUAUUGGUCAAUGGACGAAAGUCUGAACCAGCCAUGCCGCGUGAAGGAUUAAGGUCCUCUGGAUUGUAAACUUCUUUUAUCUGGGACGAAAAAAGGCGAUUCUUCGUCACUUGACGGUACCAGAUGAAUAAGCACCGGCUAACUCCGUGCCAGCAGCCGCGGUAAUACGGAGGGUGCAAGCGUUAUCCGGAUUCACUGGGUUUAAAGGGUGCGUAGGCGGGCAGGUAAGUCAGUGGUGAAAUCCUAGAGCUUAACUCUAGAACUGCCAUUGAUACUAUCUGUCUUGAAUAUUGUGGAGGUAAGCGGAAUAUGUCAUGUAGCGGUGAAAUGCUUAGAUAUGACAUAGAACACCUAUUGCGAAGGCAGCUUACUACGCAUAUAUUGACGCUGAGGCACGAAAGCGUGGGGAUCAAACAGGAUUAGAUACCCUGGUAGUCCACGCCCUAAACGAUGAUUACUCGACAUUUGUGAUACACUAUAAGUGUCUGAGCGAAAGCAUUAAGUAAUCCACCUGGGAAGUACGACCGCAAGGUUGAAACUCAAAGGAAUUGACGGGGA